GAUGAACGCUGGCGGCGUGCCUAAUACAUGCAAGUCGAGCGAACAGAUGAGGAGCUUGCUCCUCUGACGUUAGUGUCGCACGGGUGAGUAACACGUGGGUAACCUACCGAUUAGACUAGCUUACCUUCGGGAAACCGGAGCCAAUGCAGGCCAAUAUAUUUAACCUCUUACAUCAUUAUAAAACGACUGAUUUGCUUUCACGCUUCGACGGUACCGCACCGCCUUAGCUAGCUUGUGAGGGAACGGCUUACAAAGGCUACGCUGCGUAACCGACCUCAGAGCGUGAUCGGGCACACGGGAACUGAGACACGGUCCAGACUCCUACGGGAGGCAGCAGUAGGGAAUCCUACGCGAUGCGGGAGUGCCGGACGGAGCAACGCCGCGUGAGUGAUGAAGGUCUUCGGAUCGUAAAACGCUGUUAUUAGGGAUGAAGAAAUGUGUAAGUAAAUAUGAACGUAUUGACGGUACCUAAGCAGAAAGCCACGGCUAACUACGUG
rnacentral:rRNA from 1 species